AAAACAACAGACGGGCGGUGAAAAAACUCUCUACCAGUGAAAAGUUGGUGAAAAGACAAAGGCACGCGCUGCCCGAUUGGUGACGCGGUCGACAGAGGUUUGUAAAACCAAGUGAAGUGUUGUCCUGACGAAGACGCCGGCGCGCCACUUUAUUGGCCCGGCAGGAAAAGGCAUCGAUCUCCGUUUGCGUUGACUUGGCCGGAACGACUUGGUGAAUUGCCUUCGAAAGUGCCCGACAGCGAAAACGCCGGAGUGGGCCCGGCCCAGCACGUUCAAGAGAAAUGACCCGAGGAAGUGAUCGAUAGCGAAGACGCCGGCGUGCCACGUUUAUUGGCCCGGUUGCAGAGUUCCGUUUCCCAACCGGUGUGCCACGCUCUGGCCCGGUCGUCGAAAGUACGGUCCAUCGAGAGGAUCCCACCACGUUUAAGAGGAAGUGCCCGUCGGUGUGCCACGUUUCGGCCCGGUGGCUCGCAUCAUCUAUUCCCGAUCAAGUUUUGAAGGAUGGAGUUCACCGAAGGAAGUAGCCGGACCAUGAGGCUUCAUGCAGCGUCGCCAUUAUCCCGAACAGCAACUACAAAAGCGGUAUGUGGUGUAUGACUCCUUUGUUACUCCUAUUCCCAUAAUCUGAUGAUGAUAAUAUGAAACCAAAAUGAAUCGAUAAUUUUAAAUAUAUAAAAUGUUAAGUUGAA